UACGUAGGGCGCAAGCGUUAUCCGGAAUUAUUGGGCGUAAAGAGCUCGUAGGCGGUUUGUUGCGUUGGUCGUGAAAACUCACAGCUUAACUGUGGGCGUGCGGGCGAUACGGGCAGACUGGAGUACUGCAGGGGAGACUGGAAUUCCCGGUGUAGCGGUGAAAUGCGUAGAGAUCGGGAGGAACACCAGAGGCGAAGGCGGCGAGCUGGACAGUAACUGACACUCAGCUGCGAAAGCGUGGGGAGCAAACAGG
rnacentral:rRNA from 1 species